rnacentral:rRNA from 1 species
CGUGGAUAACCUGCCUCACACAGGGGGAUAACAGUUAGAAAUGACUGCUAAUACCGCAUAAGCGCACGGCAUCGCAUGAUGCAGUGUGAAAAACUCCGGUGGUGUGAGAUGGAUCCGCGUCUGAUUAGGUAGUUGGUGGGGUAACGGCCCACCAAGCCGACGAUCAGUAGCCGACCUGAGAGGGUGACCAGCCACAUUGGGACUGAGACACGGCCCAA